GACGAACGCUGGCGGCGUGCUUAACACAUGCAGGUCGUACGGUAAGGCCCUUUCGGGGGUCCACGAGUGGCGAACGGGUGAGUAACACGUGAGUAACCUGCCCACAACUUUGGGAUAACGCUAGGAAACUGGUGCUAAUACUGGAUAUGUGCUCCUGCUGCAUGGUGGGGGUUGGAAAGCUCCGGCGGUUGUGGAUGGACUCGCGGCCUAUCAGCUUGUUGGUGGGGUAGUGGCCUACCAAGGCGGCGACGGGUAGCCGGCCUGAGAGGGUGACCGGCCACAUUGGGACUGAGAUACGGCCCAGACUCCGACGGGAGGCAGCAGUGGGGAAUAUUGCACAAUGGGCGCAAGCCUGAUGCAGCAACGCCGCGGGCGGGAUGACGGCCUUCGGGUUGUAAACCGCUUUCAGCAGGGACGAAGCUUUUUGUGACGGUACCUGCAGAAGAAGCACCGGCUAACUACGUG
rnacentral:rRNA from 1 species